rnacentral:misc_RNA from 1 species
UCCGGCUUUUCGCCGACAGUCUCCGUAGAGUGCCCAGCUUUACCUGAUGGCAACUACAGACAAGGGUUGCGCUCGUUGCGGGACUUAACCCAACAUCUCACGACACGAGCUGACGACAGCCAUGCAGCACCUCUACCGUUGUCCCGAAGGAACCCUACAUCUCUGCAGGUUGCAACGGCAGUUCAAACCCCGGUAAGGUUCUUCGCGUUGCGUCGAAUUAAACCACAUGCUCCACCGCUUGUGCGGGCCCCCGUCAAUUCCUUUGAGUUUCAGCCUUGCGGCCGUACUCCCCAGGCGGAACACUUAAUGAGUUUUCGCCGGCACGGAAAGCUUUCUCACUUCCCACACCCAGUGUUCAUCGUUUACAGCCAGGACUAC